CCUACGGGAGGCUGCAGUGGGGAAUAUUGCACAAUGGGGGAAACCCUGAUGCAGCAACGCCGCGUGAGUGAAGAAGUAUUUCGGUAUGUAAAGCUCUAUCAGCAGGGAAGAAGAAAGACGGUACCUGACUAAGAAGCCCCGGCUAACUACGUGCCAGCAGCCGCGGUAAUACGGAGGGGGCAAGCGUUAUCCGGAUUUACUGGGUGGAAAGGGAGCGUAGACGGCUGUGCAAGUCUGAUGUGAAAUCCCGUGGCUUAACCGCGGAACUGCAUUGGAAACUGUAUAGCUAGAGUAUGGGAGAGGUAGGGGGAAUUCUUAGUGUAGGGGUAAAAUGCGUAGAGAUUAAGAGGAACA
rnacentral:rRNA from 1 species